rnacentral:rRNA from 1 species
GACGAACGCUGGCGGCGUGCCUAAUACAUGCAAGUUGAGCGCUGAAGGUUGGUACUUGUACCAACUGGAUGAGCAGCGAACGGGUGGGUAACGCGUGGGGAAUCUGCCUUUGAGCGGGGGACAACAUUUGGAAACGAAUGCUAAUACCGCAUAAAAACUUUAAACACAAGUUUUAAGUUUGAAAGAUGCAAUUGCAUCACUCAAAGAUGAUCCCGCGCUGUAUUAGCUAGUUGGUGAGGUAAAGGCUCACCAAGGCGAUGAUACAUAGCCGACCUGAGAGGGUGAUCGGCCACAUUGGGACUGAGACACGGCCCAAACUCCUACGGGAGGCAGCAGUAGGGAAUCUUCGGCAAUGGACGAAAGUCUGACCGAGCAACGCCGCGUGAGUGAAGAAGGUUUUCGGAUCGUAAAACUCUGUUGGUAGAGAAGAACGUUGGUGAGAGUGGAAAGCUCAUCAAGUGACGGUAACUACCCAGAAAGGGACGGCUAACUACGUG